UAAAAUCAGAGAAGCCGAAGGAAUAUUAGGUCCAACACCGACCACUAGGUACCCAAACCUGUCUCCUACUCAUGGACCAUUUAGCCCACGGCUUGCAAAUUUUAUUGAUGGCUAUCCACCACUUCUUGGAAUGAGCUCAUCCGAAUGGCUCUAUCAGUACAGGAACAGUCAUAUUGUUGAACAAGCUAAUGAUCGCAUAUGGCCAGUUCAAGUUAAUGCACCAGGAGACUUUGGAAACUUCUACAGUCAUGAUGCUUCCAGGUUUGAUUUUUUCGACAGGUGGGGCAAUCCUCCAGUUCAAGUAAAUGCACCAGGAGACUUUGGAAACUUCUACAGUCAUGAUGCUUCCAGGUUUGAUUUCUUCGACAGGUGGGGCAAUCCUCUGCCUUCCAGUCCAAUGGUUUAUUUGGAUAACCCGCAUUUGAACACAAAUUUGCCUCUCUACGGAGUAGAGGAACAAAGAAGGGAGAAGCUGUUUCAUGGUUACCAAAGACCGAUCUCCUAUGGAUGUGUUACCGCGACAGACUUGGGAGCAGAGAAGCCACCACUUCUACAGUAUCUACAAGAAAGAGAAUGGCAACUACAACGAGAGAAUAAACUGCGAGGUCCUCCCUACAUGGGGAACUAAGUUAAGGUACAUGAAGACUUUAAGACUGACUUCAAUUCUAAGUCUAAAUGUUUGUUUGUACUUGGGUAAAUGAAGGUCCUGCAGGUUUUCAAGUGACAUUCUGGUUGAACUUAUAUUUGAAGAAGUGUGUAUUUCUUGUUUUUGUCCAAAAGCUACAAUGUUCUUGUGCCGAUCAGAUGGUUAUCAAAUAGAUGAAAAAAAUAUGUAAUAUUUCUUUCAGAACUUAGUGAUGUAGAUUGAGGGAUAGUAGUAAAGGUUUAACGAUGUUCAUGCAGAUUGUGACUUGCCUGAAUUUGUAAAUAUUUUUUUUUUUUAUGUUCAAAUUUAACCGUUUGUGAGUGUCAAAACAUUUACCAUAUAAAGACUAAUAGGCUGGAAUAUUUUGUUGUAUUUAUGGUGGUAACUUGGAUUUUUCUAAAGUCGUGUGAACAGUUUCAGAUUGAAGUUAUUUGUGGUUCAUCAAAUAAUUUAAUCGGAUAAAGUCAGAAAUUCUGCAAGAAGAGAGAAUGUGUAUCGAUUGAAGUUAUUUGUGGUUUAUCAAAUAAUUCAAUCGGAUAAAGUCAGAAAUUCUGCAAGAAAAGAGAAUGUAUAUCGUUGUGUAUUUCAAAUGAACCAUCACUUUGAAAUGAUCAAUGCAACAUCUAUAUAUAUGAUGUCAAUAGAUGUGUAUUUUGAUAAUAGACACAUCUUAAUCCAAAUAGAUUUGUCUAAUGGCAAUAGACACAUCCAGUAGAUGUGUCUAAUGUAAAUGGACAAAUCUAAUGCCAAUAGACAUUUCUUUUCCAAUAGAUGUGACUAAUGCCAUUGUUAAUGCUACAAAAUAUAUUUACUCAGGUUAGAAGUAUGUUUUGACAAUAUUUGUAUAAAUACUACCAAUAUUUGUCAUAGACCUGCUGUCUAAUUCGAGAGGAGAAACAUACGGUACAAAUCAGGGGAACUAUAAGGUAAGCCGACUAAUUUUCUUAUAUUCACUAGAAUAAUUGAUCAAACACUAUACAUUUGAUAUAUGAUCACAUUGGUCAUCCUCUAUACUCGGAAUAAACGUGCCUGCAGUGCUGGCAAUUUUUAUUAUAUUUCGGUUAAAAUCUUCGGUCUUCCGAAUGUUGGGGUUCAAGUAGUACAAAAAAACUUAGAAUUGUGAGUAUACAUAUAUCUCUAGCAUAGCCUUUAGCUACUCACAUGUAAAUGCUAGUCAAUUAUGGUUUUCAUGCAUGUAAGGCCAAAAAAAUAUCAUAGCAAAUAAUGAUAAUAAUUGGAUUAUUAUAGCUUUAUAGCGUCCCUAAAGUUUAUUGUUAUGUAAUUCUUCAGUUUCAAGAAAGUAAAACGUUUUGCUUUGCAUGAUUAGUGUUCACGUUUUGGACACUAUAUGCUCACUACUAUCAGUUUCCCUUAGCAUCACACUUUUCAUUAUUUUUUUUCGUGGUCCGUACAUAAAUCUGUCUCCUUUCCAAGUAUAAAUACAGUGUGGCACAUUGUUUCGUCUCACAUUGUUUUUAUUUAUUUGAUAAACUGGUGUCCGUGCCAGUUUGCGCGCACCUGCUAUUUGGUGAAAUGGAUUUUGGGGAGGAAGAUACUCAAAGAAUGUAAGCUAUUCUCUAUCUGUAGUGAUUCUUUUCCACAUAAGGUGUUGGGGUCAUGUUGCUGAUUUUUCGAAAUUAUUUCAUUUUAGAGUUGAUAAUUUUUGAAUUUUCAGGCUGAUGCUAUACAUUCACGAUCAUAUGAGAAAAAAUAACAUGCAUGAGGCUGCUAAGGUAUUUGCAGAAGAGGCAAAUCUUGAGCUAAACCCAGGUCAGUAUUUUAGUUUUUUCAUUAAUUUGUAGUCAGCCAUACAUUUAACAGUUCAUGUAUUUUCUUCAUGCAGUACUGAAAUUUGAUAAAUUAUGAUUUUGUGAAAUAUUUAUUUGAUUUUCUUUUAAGUGAUCGAUGCUCCUCAAGGCUUUCUAGCUGAAUGGUGGGAAGUGUUUUGGAACAAGUACUUCUCCAUCUAUUCCAACAUCCCAGGAUGCGAGGUAAAAUCCUCUACUUAUUCAAAUAAAUAUUUGAGUCACGUGUAUUAAUCUUAGGUUGUGUUCACUUGGAUUGAAUGGAAUGGGGAGAAUGGAAUGAAUUUUGUAAUCUAAAAUAGGGUUGAUUUGAGAAAAUGCCUAUAUAUUUCAUUCCUUCGAUCAUUCCAUUCGUAUGAUUUUAACUAGAAUUCUAACCCACAUGUUUUGAAAGGAAUGUUCAUUCCAUUUCAACAUCAUCUUUCCUUACAAUCUUUAUCACAAAAAAUCUAAACUCAUUCAUAUUUAGUCACUACUAUCUUAUUCUUUCUUCUUUCUCCAUAAAAGUUCUAUAUAAUAUUUGAUUUCAUUAUCCCCUUAUUCCAUUCCAUCCAAGUGAACAGAGCCUUAUGUUGUGUUUGGUUGGGGAGAAUGGAAUGAAAUGGAAUGAAAUGAGUAAAAAUACUUGAAACUAAUAGAGAUAGGAAGAAAGUUUUGAAAAAAAUUGAGGGAGUGCAAAAUUACUAUGAUGAGAUUUGAGAAGAAUUUGAUGAUAGGAGAGAAUGGAGCAUUCCAUCUCAAAUUGAAGGUGUGAUAUUUAGCAUAUGAUGCAAGGAAUGGAAUGGAGGAAAGAUUGAAAUUUCUAAAAAUUAUCCAUAAGAUAGUUCAUUUUUCAUUCCAUUCCUUCCGGAAUCAUUCACCCCAACCAAACACAACAUUAGGUUGUGUUCACUUCAUGGAAUGGAAUGAGUGGAGAAUGGAAUGAAAUUUAUAUUACAAAUUGUGAGUGAUUAGUGAAAUUGUUUAUAAUUUUCAUUCCUUCACUCAUUCCAUUCUAACUAUUUUAACUAAAAAUCUAACCCACAUGUUUCGAAAGGAAUGUUGAUUUCAUUUGUUCAUCAUCUUUUCCUAUCAUCUUCUUCAUGAUAAAUUUUAACUCACUCAUAUUUAAUCAUUAUUGCCUCAUACGUUCUCCAAUCUCCAUAAAACUUGUUCAUAUAGUUUCUUCCAUUCUCCCCUCAUUCCAUUCUCCCCUCAUUCCAUUCCAUGAAGUGAACACAACCUUAGUUUUCUGAUUAAUGUAUCUACUGUAUUAACUCAAGAAAAAUCUUAGGAAAUUUCGAGGGAUGCCUCGACAAUGGAUACGUCCUUUGUACUGCCAACUCCUGGAUUCUCUGAAGGAAUGACUGCAGGGACCAUGCUACAAAACAUCUCCCCCAGGUUUACAUCUGUCAGCACCAUGAGCCCGCAACUAGUUGGCAACACUUCUCAUUGCAAGGGAAAGGAUUCCGUAAUGGAACCUAGUCCUUCUGUAUUUGUGCCAACUCCUGGAAUAGACAGACCAUGGUUCGAAAACUCAAUGCCUAAUGUAUCCGGUACCAGGUAUAUAAUCAACUUAUAAAUAAAUAAUCUGAAAUAUGAAUUUUUCUCUUUUUUUCUUAAUUAUUCUUUGAAUGGCUUUUGUAAUAAUCCUGCUUAUUGAGUUAUUGUGCCACAGCCACCAGCAGCAUCAAGCUUCUGCGCAGUCCUCGUUGCUGGUUUCAGGGGUAUGAAUACAGUCUUACAAAAUGUAAAAAUUAAUUCUACACAUGGGUGAAGUCUAAAUUAUUAUUUUAGCUGAGAGAUGAAGGCUAAAUUAAUAUUAUUAUGUUGCAGGUUGCUAGCAACCAAAAUUCUCAGGGAAGAUAUAGCAUCCAGAUGGAGCCAACUCUGCAAGUUCCAGGUCUAAAUUCUCCGUCAACAGGGUCAAGAAAUCCCAGUGCUGGUGCAUUUGAUUUUUUCAAAUACUAUUUUCGCGAUUAAGUUGGAUAAACGUUACCUAGCUAGUAGCUAGUAAUAAUUACCUUGAUAUGUUAAUCUUCAGGAUGAUAAUUUUUUUAUUUUUUGAGUUUGUGAUUCAAUUUUUUGGAUUUAAUUUUUAGACAACUAGUUGAGAAGCCGCGCGUUGCGGCGGCCUAUAAAAAUUUCAUUAAUGAUUCAAUAUUAAUAUUUGUAGAGUACAAUAAUUUUGUGGUUGUCUAUAAAAAGUAUAUUAAUGAUUUAAUAUUUGUAGGAUAAAAUAAAUUUUAUAAUAUAAAAUCUUGAUGUAAUACCAAUACUAAUAUAUAAAAUUGGACUAUAAUUCAUGGUGAAAAAAUGAAAAUAAAUUUCUACACGUAAUUAACAAUUUAAAACACGACGAAUCUUAAUUCGUGAUCAUGUUUUUACAUUGUCAUCUUCAUCCAAGUUUUUUGGAUUGAUUGUGCACAAAAACAUCUAACUUAAAUCUGUGAGAUAGCGGUUUAUAAGUACCCUUGCGUGUAACGACUUUUAUUUUUUCAUACUGUAUAAACAGCCUUCACUUAAAAGUUAUUUGAACGGAGCAAACACAUAAUGCAUGAAUAAUAUUUUCAUGUAUACAAAGUAAAUCAUAUAAAAAUUAACAACAACAAACAUGUCCGAUUAACAAAACAAAUAUUAUAAAAGAAUAACCAACAAACAUACAUCACUAAUAGUUAAUUUAUUAAUAUCAUCCAUCAAUAUCAGGUCAAGACUAUAUUCUUCUCCCGUGUUUGGAUUUGUCGACUCUCACAUAGCGGUCUAUACCUUUGCUUGCAACAACUUUUAUUUUUUUUAAUACCGUAUAAACAACCUUCAUUUAUGGUUGCAGAAGCACGGCACCACCGAGAACUAUCACCAGAGAGAGGUAGGAUUGUGGUAUUGAGAGAGAGUAGUGUUUAGAUGAUCCAAAACCCUACAACUUAUAGGGGUAUUUAUAGGUGCUGAGAGACUUGUGUGCUACUUUUUCCCAUAAUUAAAUAAUCUGAAACAAAAUCAAAUUAAAACUUUCAAGCUGCUAUAUUUCAUAAAUAAUCUGAAACAAAAUCAGCUUCUGAAACUUGCUUCUAAUAUAUCCGAGACUAAAAAAGGUAGUUCUAAUUUUUGAUAUUUUUCAUCCAAUAUAAUUACAUCCGUCAAACAUGUAUUAUAUAACUAUAUAAUAAUAAUUAAUAUAAAUAUAUAAUAUAUAUUUUUCCAUCUAUUUGUUUCAGACUGAAUUUAUUUACGUAAAAACGGACCAGAUGGAAAUUUAAUCCGGUGAGACCGAAAAUGUUGGGAGCCGUGUUUGGAUUUGUCGACUCCCACAUAGCGGUCCAUACCUUUGCUUGCAACAACCUUUAUUUUUUUAAUACCAUAAACAGCCUUCACUUAUGGUUGCAGAAGAACGACACCACCGAGAACUAUCACCAGAGAGAGGUAGGGUUGUGGCAUUGAGAGAGAGUACUUGUGUUUAGAUGAUCCAAAACUCUACAACUUAUAGCGGUAUUUAUAGGUGCUGAGAGACUUGUGUGCUACUUUUUCUCAUAAUCAAAUAAUCUGAAUCAAAUCAAAUUAAAACUUUCAAGCUGCUAUAUUUCAUAAAUAAUCUGAAACAAAAUCAGCUUCUGAAACUUGAUUCUAAUAUAUCCGAAACUAAAAAGGGUAGUUCUAAUUUUUGAUAUUUUUCAUCCAAAAAUUCCAGAAAAUUAGAAAAAUAGAACGGAGCGAUGUGAGAGGCGCCACCUACACGCCCCUCGCUUCUCCUUUAUAUAAGUAUAUUGAUGAUUGAUAGGCUUUGGCUAAACUUUUUUGCGCGCUUUAUAAAUUAAAAAUCAAUUUAUUCGUACAUAAAGAAGUUAUACGUGAUCAGAAUUCAAGAAUCUGAAAAUAAUCUUCUUUUAGUGAUUUUUCUUUUUCCAAAUUUUAAUUUAUAAAAUUAUAUUGAAACACUUUAAAAGAUAACUUAAAUUUUAUUAUUAUUUCAAUAAUUUUUAUACCUAAUAAAUCUUACCUAUCGAAAAAAUUUAUCAAAGCAUAUAUAGAACUAGUUGAGAAGCCGCGCGUUUCGGCGGCAUAUAAAAAUUAUAUUGAUGAUUUAAUAUUAUUAUUUGUAGAAUAAAAUAAUUUUGUGGCUGUUUAUAAAAAAUACAUUAAUGUUUCAAAAUUAAUAUUUGUAGGAUAAAAUAAAUUUAUAUUAUAAAAAUUUCGAUAUAAUACCAAUACUAAUAUAUAAUAUUGCAAAAUUGGACUAUAAUUCAUGGUGAAAAAUGAAAUACAUGUAUAAUUUUUUCCAGUAUACAAAGUAAAUCAUAUAAAAAUUAACAACAACAAACAUGUCCCAUGAACAAAACAAAUAUUAUAAAAGAAUAACCAACAAACAUACAUCACUAAUAGUUAAUUUAUUGAUAUCAACCAUCAAUAUCAUGUCAAGACUAUAUAUUGUUUUCCCGUGUUUGGAUUUGUCGACUCCAUUAUAGCGGUCUAUAACUAUCUUUGCUUGCAACAACCUUUAUUUUUUUUAAUACUGUAUAAACAGCAUUCACUUAUCGUUGCAGAAGAACGGCACGUCCGAGUUAGAAAUCGAGCAAGAGAACUAUCACCAGAGAGAGGUAGGGUUGUGGACUUGUGGUAUUGAGAGAGAGGAGGUUGUGUUUUGAUGAUCCAAAACCGUACAAUCUAUAGAGAUAUUUAUAGGUGCAGAGAGACUUGUGUGCUACUCUUUCCAAUAAUUAGAUAAUCUAAAACAAAAUCAGAUUAAAACUUUCAAGCUACUAUAUUCCAUAAAUAAUUUGAAACAAAAUCAGAUCCUGAAACUUGCUUCUAAUAUACCCAAAACUAAAAAAGGUAGUUCUAAUUUUUGAUAUUUUUCAUCCAAAAAUUCCAGCAAAAUAGAACGGAGCGAUGUGAGAGGCGCCACCUACACGCUCCUCGCUUCUUUAAAAAUCGAGCAAGAGAACUAUUACCAAAGAGAGAUAGGUUUGUGGUAUUGAGAGAGAGGAGGUUGUGUUUUGAUGAUGCAAAACCCUACAAUCUAUAGAGGUGUUUAUAGGUGCAGAGAGACUUAUAUGUUAUUCUUUCCCAUAAGUAAAUAAUCUGAAACAAAAUCAAAUUAAAACUUUCAAGCUACUAUAUUCCAUAAAUAAUUUGUCUUUCCCAUAAAUAAAUAAUCUAAAUAAUCCGAAACAAAAUCAGAUUAAAACUUUCAAGCUACUAUAUUCCAUAAAUAAUUUGAAACAAAAUCAGAUUCUGAAACUUGCUUCUAAUAUACCCGAAACUAAAAAAGGUAGUUCUGAUUUUUAAUAUUUUUCAUCCGAAAAUUUCAUAAAAAUAGAAAAAUAGAACAGAGCGAUGUGAGAGGCGCCACCUACACGCCCCUCGCUUCUCCUUUACAUAAGUAUAUUGAUUAUUAUUUAAUUUUUUUUUAUCACGAGAUACUUUCUCGUAUAAUGAAGAGAACUUAAAAAUUUAUAAACUUAAUAAACCAAUCAUUGACAUCAUGACAUUUUGGUCGGGCGUAAUUUACCUAGGCCCCUAUCGAGCCACUUACAUGCCUGGCUGGCUGGAUAGAUGAGUCCUGGGCUAACUCCUUUUAUGAUCGUGACGAGGAGGCACGUCUUUCCUUGUUACAAAAGAAGGGUUGUGACCCAUAAAACAUAAAACAUUUACUGAUGACAAAAUUUUCCGAACCGACGGAUAUCCGACCGAAUCGAUCUGAAUGAUUUUUACCGAACCCGAUUUUUAUGGUAUGGUUACGGGGUUGGUUUUUAUUUUUCAAAACCGAUUUAAUUUGGUUCGGGUUUGAUUUUUAGGCCAACCGAACAAAACCCCUGACCUGAAUAUCCAAAACCCGAACCAAACCGAAACCCGAACGAACCCGAUAGUAUGAAUCAUCAAUAUACUUAUAUAAAGGAGAAGCGAGGGGCGUGUAGGUGGCGCCUCUCAGAUCGUUCCGUUCUAAUUUUCUAAUUUUCUGGAAUUUUCGGAUGAAAAAUAUCAAAAAUUAGAACUAUCUUUUUUAGUUUCGGAUAUAUUAGAAACAAGUUUCUCUCCACCUAUAAAUAGCCCGCACGUUGGGCGGUCUAUAAAAAUUAUAUUAAUGAUUCAAAAUUAGUAUUUGUAAAAUAAAACAAAUAUGUGGCAGUUUAUAAAAUUUAUAUUAAUGAUUCAAAAUUAAUAUUUGUAAAAUAAAUUAGAUUAUAUAUUAUAAACAUCUCGAUACAAUACCAAUAUUAAUAUAUAAAAUUACAAAAUUGGACUAUAAUUCAUGAGUGAAAAAAUGAAAAUAAAUUUCUACAUAUAAUCAACGAUUUAAAGCAUGACGAAUCUUAAUUUUUGUUGUGUUUUUGUUUUCAAAAUAUAUGAAGGAGAAGCGAGGGGCGUGUAGGUGGCGCCUCUCACAUCGUUCCGUUCUAAUUUUCUAAUUUUUUGGAAUUUUCGGAUGAAAAAUAUCAAAAAUUAGAACUACCUUUUUUAGUUUCGGAUAUAUUAGAAACAAGUUUCAAAAUCUGAUUUUGUUUCAGAUUAUUUAUGGAAUAUAGCAGCUUGAAAGUUUUAAUAUGAUUUUAUUUCAGAUUAUUUAAUUAUGGGAAAUUGUAGCACACAGUCUCUCUGCACCUAUAAAUACCCCUUAUAGGUUGCAGGGUUUUUUUAUCAUCUAAACACAACCUACUCUCUCUCUCAAUACCACAACCCUACCUCUCUCUGGUGAUAGUUCUCUUGCUCGAUUUCUAACUCGGUGGUGCUGUUCUUCUGCAACGAUAAGUGAAGGCUGUUUAUACGGUAUUAAAAAAAAGUUGUUGCAAACAAAGGUAGUUAUAGACCGCUAUGUGGGAGUCGACAAAUCCAAACACGGGAGAAGAAUAUAGUCUUGACAUGAUAUUGAUGGAUGAUAUCAAUCAUUAAAUUAACUAUUAGUGAUGUAUGUUUGUUGGUUAUUCUCUUAUAAUAUUUGUUUUGUUCAUCGGACAUGUUUUUUGUUGUUAAUUUUUAUAUGAAUUAUUUUGUGCACAUGAAAAAUUAUUCAUGCAUUAUCUGUUUGCUCCGUUCAAGCAACUUUUAAGUGAAGACUGUUCAUACAGUAUUAAAAAAAAUAAAGGUUGUUACAAGCAAAGGUAGUUAUAGACCGCUAUCUCAUGAAUUUAAGUUAGAUAUUUGUGUGCACAAUCAAUCCAAAAACACAAAUAAAACUAAGAUUAAUUGGAGGAAGGUGACAAUGUAAGAACAUGAUUACUUUUCAAAAAAACAAAAACACAAAUAAAACUAAGAUUCAUCGUGCUUUAAAUUGUUAAUUAUGUGUAGAAAUUUAUUUUCAUUUUUUCAACAUGAAUUAUAGUCCAAUUUUUACACGUAAUUAACAAUAUUGAAUCAUUAAUAUACUUUUUAUAAACAGCCACAAAAUUAUUAUAUUCUACAAAUAUUAAUAUUAAAUUAUUAAUAUAAUUUUUAUAGGCCACCGCAACGCGCGGCUUCUCAACUAGUUUAUUUUAUAUCAUUAUAUAAUAUAGGUCAAGUUCUAUGAAGUACACAAUAAUAUUGGAGUACCAGUCACAAUUUUUUACUUUAGUCAUAAAUAAUAUCUUCGACUGUAAAUUUUUUUAAUAUAAUUUUUCAUUUAUAAGUACACUUAAACAUAACUAUCACUUAAUCAUUAAUAUAUUUCAACUUUAACAAGCAUUAAGAUUAUUGUUCUACUUGUGAAUUAUAUCGUAGAACAUAAUGUCCUCUAAUAGUUUUUUUUAAUGUUUUUUAUAUAAUUUUUGGGUUUCGGUUUAUACUAAACCGAACCGAACCGAACCGAAAACCGGUGAUUCGGGUUUGGUUUUUGAACUUCGAUUUCAGUUCGAUUCGGUUCAGGUUCGGUUUUGAAAAAUACUAUUCAGUUCGGGUUCGGUUUUUGUCAAAACUGAUUGCCAUCUCUAAAAACAUUGGAUCAGUUGGCAGGAUAGAGCUGGACAAUUUUUUAUGCUUGUGAAUGAAAAAAAAAUAGAACUGAUUAUACUCAUUUACAAUUUGUUUGCGUAGCUAAAAAUAUCGUUACUAAAUUGUUUGGACGCAAAAUGAAUAUUGUGAUUGUUAACCUCUGAAACACAAUGGGCAGAUCAAAGCUUUUACUAUAUCAUGGCCAGCUUGAAUGCUACAACACUAUUUUCUUCCAUUCCCUCUAAACCCUGUUCCUUACCAAAACUAAAAAAUCUCUACGUCCAUAUUGCCUUCUCUCCACCUUCAUCUUCUUCUUUUGGAGUGACUGCUUUCUCUGGAGUGACUUCUUUUUAGCUACGCAAACAAAUUGUAAAUGAGUAUAAUCAGUUCUAUUUUUUUUUUAUUCACAAGCAUAAAAAAUUGUCAUGAUGCUCUACCAGACUACCAGUACAGGAACAGUCAUAUUGUUGAACAAGCUAAUGAUCGCAUAUGGCCAGUUCAAGUAAAUGCACCAGAAGACUUUGGAAACUUUUAUAGUCGUGAUGCUUCCAGGUUUAAUUUUUUCGACAGGUGGGGCAAUCCUUUGCCUUCCAGUCCAAUGGUCUAUUUGGAUAACCCGCAUUUGAACACAAAUUUGCCUCUCUACGGAAUAGAGGAACAGAGAAGGGAGAAGCUGUUUCAUGGUUACCAAAGACCGAUCUCCUAUGGAUGUGUUACCGGGACAGACUUGGGAGCAGAGAAGCCACCACUUCUACAGUAUCUACAAGAAAGAGAAUGGCAACUACAAUGAGAGAAUAAACUGCGAAGUCCUCCCUACAUGGGGAACUAAGUUAAGGUACAUGAAGACUUCAAGACGUACUGACUUCAAUUCUAAGUCUAAAUGUUUAUUUGUACUUGGGUAAAUGAAGAUCCUGCAGGUUUUCAAGUGACAUUCUGGUUGAACUUAUAUUUGAAGAAGUGUGUAUUUCUUGUUUUUGUCCAAAAGCUACAAUGUUCUUGUGCCGAUCAGAUGGUUAUCAAAUAGACGAAAAAAAUAUGUAAUAUUUCUUUCAGAACUUAGUGAUGUAGAUUGAGGGAUAGUAGUAAAGGUUUAACGAUGUUCAUGCAGAUUGUGACUUGCCUGAAUUUGUAAAUAUUUUAUUUUUUUAUGAUCAAAUUUAACCGUUUGUGAGUGUCAAAACAUUUACCAUAUAAAGACUAAUAGGCUGGAAUAUUUUGUUGUAUUAUUUAUGGUAAUUUGGAUUUUUCUGAAGUCGUGUGAACACUUUCAGAUUGAAGUUAUUUGUGGUUCAUCAAAUAAUUUAAUCGGAUAAAGUCAGAAAUUCUGCAAGAAGAGAGAAUGUGUAUCGAUUGAAGUUAUUUGUGGUUUAUCAAAUAAUUCAAUCGGAUAAAGUCAGAAAUUCUGCAAGAAAAGAGAAUGUGUAUCGUUGUGUAUUUCAAAUGAACCAUCACUUUGAAAUGAUCAAUGCAACAUCUAUAUAUAUGAUGUCAAUAGAUGUGUAUUUUAAUAAUAGACACAUCUUAAUCCAAAUAGAUUUAUCUAAUGGCAAUAGACACAUCUUAUCCCAAUAGAUGUGUCUAAUGUAAAUGAAAAAAUCUAAUGUCAAUAGACACUUUUUUUCCAAUAGAUGCGACUAAUGCCAUUGUUAAUGCUACAAAAUAUAUUUACUCAGGUUAGAAGUAUGUUUUGACAAUAUUUGUAUAAAUACUACCAAUAUUUGUCAUAGACUUGCUGUCUAAUUCGAGAGGAGAAACAUAAGGUACAAAUCAGGGGGACUGUAAGGUAAGCCGACUAAUUUUCUUAUAUUCACUAGAAUAAUUGAUUAAACACUAUACAUUUGAUAUAUGAUCACAUUGGUCAUACUCUAUGCUCGAUAUAAACGUGCCUGCAGUGCUGGCCAUUUUUAUUAUAUUUCGGUUAAAAUAUUCUUCCGUCUGAGUUGUCCGAAUGUUGGGGUUCAAGUACUACAAAAAAACUUAAAAAUGUGAGCAAUAGCCUUUAGCUAUUCACAUGUAAAUGCUAGUCAAUUAUGGCUUUCAUGCAUGUCCGGCCAAAAAAAUAUCAUACCCAACAAUGAUAAUAAUUGGAUUAUUCUACCUUUAUAGCGUCACUAAAGUUUAUUCUUAUGUAAUUCUUCAGUUUCAAGAAAGUAAAACCUUUUGCUUUGCAAUUGCAUGAUUAGUGUUCACGUUUUGUACACAAUAUGCUCACUACUAUCAGUUUCCCUUAACAUCACACUUUUCAUUAUUUUUUUCCUGGUCCGUUCAUAAAUUUUUGUCUACUUUUCCAGUAUAAAUACAGUGUGGCACAUUGUUUCAUCUCACAUUGUUUUUUUUUAUUUGGUAAACUGGUGUCCGGGCCAGUUUGCGCGCACCAGCUAUUUGGUGAAAAUGGAUUUUGGGGAUAAAGAUACUCAUAGAAUGUAAGCUAUUCUCUAUCUGUAGUCAGUGUUGGGUUAAUAUUGCUGCUUUUUCUAAAUUAUUUCUUUUUACAGUUCGAUUUUCGAAUUUUCAGGCUGAUGCUAUACAUUCACGAUCAUAUGAGAAAAAAUAACAUGCACGAGGCAGCUAAGAUAUUUGCAGAAGAGGCAAAUCUUGAGCUAAACCCGGGUCAGUAUUUUAAUUUUUUUUCAUUAAUUCAACAUUUCAUGUAAUUUCUUAACUGGUUUUUUGUCUUCUUGAGGCAUGCAGUACUGAAAUUCGUUAAAUUUGAUUUUCUGAAAUAUUUAUUUGAUUUAUAAUUAAGUGAUCGAUGCUCCUGGAGGCUUUCUAGCUGAAUGGUGGGAAGUGUUUUGGAACAAGUACUUCUCCAUCUAUUCCAACAUCCCAGGAUGUGAGGUAAAAUCCUCAACUAGUUUUCUGAUUAAUGGAUCUACUGUAUUAACUCAAGAAAAAUCCUAGGAAAUUGCGAGGGAUGCCUCGACACUGGAUAUGUCCUGUGUACUGCCAACUCCUGGAUUCUCUGAAGGAGUGACUGCAGGGACCAUGCUACAAAACAUCUCUCCCAGGACCAUGAGCCAGCAACUAGUUGGCAGUACUUCUCAUUGCAAGGAAAAGGAUAUCGUAAUGGAACCUAGUCCUUCUAUAUUGGUGCCAACUGCUGGGAUAGAAAGACCAUGGUUCGAAAACUCAAUGCCUAAUGUAUUCAGUACCAGGUACUUGCUCCACCUAUAAAUAAUCUAACGGAAAAUGCUUCAUGCACAAAAUUGGGUACUUCUCAAUGGUGGAGGCACCUAUGGGCCAGGGUAGGUUUGGGCCCUCCCCGGAAAUUGGGACUGAAAUAUUUUUCUCAUUUUUUGCUUAAGCCCAGUCCAGUUUUCCAGAUAUAUGUGUUGUGGCACGCUGAAAUCUUGUAAAAACAACGUGCAGGCUCUCAAAUUUCAUUUAGAAAAGCAAGAGAGCACUGAGCAAGAGAGAAAUAUCUGUGUUUUUUAUGAUUUUUCUUUUUGCAUUUUUCUACUCAUAGUUGGGAAAAAAAAUUACUGUAUAUUUUAGCCCUCCCUCAUAUAUUCCUGGCUCCGCCACGGGUACUUCUUAUGGCGCAAUAUUAAGUUGUCUUUGCGUAUGUUCUUGAUUCUUCCUUGAUCGGUGUGAGGUUUUAUCAGAUACAGUCUGUUGGUUUCUUUAGUUGUUUUUUAUAUUUAUUUUCUUAUAUUAUUGAGAAUGACAUCAAUAAGUUGACACACUUGAAUUAGUUCAGUUCUGUGUGCGCCUAUCGAAUUUCUAAUAAACCUGCUUAUUGUGCCACAGCCACCAACAGCAACGAGCUUCUACCCAGUCCUCAUUGCUGCUUGCAGGGGUAUGAAUACAGUCUUUGUACACUAUAUAUAGCUGAGCCUACUAAAUUUAAAAAAUGCUUCACAUGGAUAAAGUCUUAAUUAUUUUUAUAGCUGAGGGAUGAAGGCUAAUUAAUAUUAUUGUGUUGCAGGUUGCUAGCAAUCAAAAUUCUGAGGCAAGACCUAGCAGCCAGAUGGAGCCAACUCUGCAAGUACCAGGUCUAAAUUCUGAUCAGUCAACAGGGUCAAGAAAUCCCAGUGCUGGUGCAUUUGAUUUUUUCAAAUACUAUUUUCGCGAUUAAGUUGGAUAUGUCAAUCUUCAGGAUGAUAAUUUUUUAUUUCUUGAGUUUGUAAUUCAAUUUAUUGGAUUUAAUUUUUAGACAACAGGCUCUGGCUAAACUCUUUUACCCGCUUCUAAUCUAUUACUCCCUCCGUCCCAAAAAGAUUGAACUGCUUUGACUUUCACGGAGAUUAAAAAAAAGGUAGUAAAAGAAAUUAAAUUAGUUGAAAAGUUGGUAAAAUGAUGGGACCCGUCAAAAUUUUAAUAAUAGAUUUGAGAUAGUGGAGGAAAGUAGUGGGUGUAAUAGUGUUUAUAGUAUUAUAGAAAAGAGAUAGUGGAAGAACUAAUGGGUGUAAUAGUAAAAAGUAGUGUUCAAAAAUAAUAAGUGUAAUAAGUUCAUUCUUUUUGGGACGUCCCAAAAGGAAUCCCAAAAGGAAUAAGUGUCAAUUAAAAUGGGACGGAGGGAGUAUAUAUCUAAUUGAACAACCUUGGGUAAAUUAAUUCAAUAUGACUAAUAUACUCUUUACUUAUUACACAUAGUUUAAUAUAUAUAAAGGUUAUUAUUGACUUUUAAUACUAACGUACUUAUUAUACAUUAAUGUCUAAGCAUUAAUAUACAUUAAUUAUAACAUGAUCAUUAUAUGGAAUUAUUUUAAUAUUAUACAUAUAAAUAUCAUCAUAUUGAGGAUAUAUGUACAUUUAGACAUCAAGAUAAUAUGACUUAAAAUAAAAAUAAAUAUUAAAUUUAAAUUAUUUUCAUAAUAUAAAUAAUCUUAAUUUUUAGAAAAAUGAAUAAAAGAUAUAAAAAUAUAUAUAUAUAUAUAUCAAAAAAAUAAUUUAAAGCAACCCGUGCUUUGCACGGGUUAAGAAGCUAGUUCAUAAGUAAAAUUCAAGUUAUUCAUACAUAAAGAAGUUAUAUAAGUGAUCAGAAUUCAAGAAUUUGAAAAUAAUCUUUUUUUAGUGAUUUGUUUUUCAAAUUUUGAUUUAUAAAAAUAUAUUGAAACACUUUAAACGAUGGCUUAUAAUAUAUUAUUGUUAUCUUGAUAAUUUUUAUAUCUAAUAUGUUGUAGACAUGGAAAAAAUUUAUCUAACCACACAAAAAACAUUUUACUAUGACUUAAUUUGUUGACAUCAUUUUGUGGUUGAUAUCAAAACAUUUUAUUAUGGUGGCCCGGCCCUAUCGAGCCAGUUACAUGCAUGGCUGGGCUGGAUAUAUCGGGUUCGGAUCGGAUCAGCCUGAAUCUAUAUCCAUAUCCAUUUAUUUUAUCGGAUUCGGAUUUGGAUCGGAUUGGGACCGGAUUUUUUAUAGGCCGAUCCAAAUCCGGAUCCGUUAGGAUCACGGAUCACGGAUCAGAUAUCCGGAUCCAUUUAACUUCUUAUGAUUUUCUUUGACUGGGGUUGAUAUAAUAUGCAGAGAGAUAUCAUUUUGUAAUGAAAAUAUCAAGUUGUAAUCUCUGACAAUAGCUUAACAAAUUAACAAUAGACCUAGUUUAAAUCCAUGUACAAGCAAUUUUUAAUUUUCUGUCACCACUAAAGAAAACAUGUAAAAAAUAUGCAUGUGCUCAACAAUCUUUCAAAUAAUAUAUUUGUACAGUUGAUAUGGACUGGGCCUAUGAAUUUGUACAGUUGAUUUUAUUAAAUAACCUGUCUUUAGGUUGUAAAAAUUUAUUAGGAAUAGGGAUAAAAUAUAUUAUUAUGUAAUAUAUAAUAUAUAUCUAUAUUAUAUAAAUAUAUUAACCGGAUCGGGUUAUAAACGGAUCGGAUCACACUAAAUCCAUAUCCAAUCCAUUUAUAAUCGGAUCAAAUUUCGGAUCGGAUAUUUUUUUGUUAAAUCCAUAUCCGCUAAAAUGACCUCGGAUCGGAUCGGGUCGGAUCGAAUUUUCGCUCCAUUGACAGGCCUAGCUGGAUAGAUGAGUUCUGGGCUAACUCCUUCUAUGAUCGUGAUGAGGAGGCACGUCUUUCCUUGUUAUAAAAGAAGGGGUCUAAUAUUGAACCAGGUGGCAGGAUAGAACAGGACAGGAGACUUCAUAUUUAUUUUUAUUUUUUUAAGGUCUACAUAUUUGUAGAUGAAUUAUACCGAAAUACAAUAAAUCGCAUCUGAGAUUUCUUUCUUUCAAGAAAAUUUAUCAUCUAACCGAAAGUCAUGCAAGUAUAAUUCCGGAUGUUUAGACAAUAAAGGUUAAAUGAAUAAUAAAAGAAAGCCCAUAAGUCCCGUAACUUCCAAAAUAUCCUGAAAAAACAAACUAAACAACACAUAAAUCAACAUACAAUAAAAUCACACAUAUAUAAAUUUAGUUAAAGUGAAUAUAGAAAAUCUAAUAAAAAGCAAAACAAAAAUAUAUAUAAAAAAUAGAUAGAAAAUAAAAUAAUAUAGAAAUAUUAAUUAAUUUCUAACCAAAGGAAAAUCUUUUGGUUAGACACAUAAAAAUUAAAAUUUAAGCGAGGAAUAGAAACAAAAGAUAAAAUAUAAUUAAAUAUAUUAAAUAUAAUGAUCAUCAAAAUAGUCAAUAAGUCAUAAAAGUGGCAUCUAUAACUGGAACAAAAGGCCACUAAAAGCACAAUAAAGUCAUCAUUAAUGACUCCAUAAAUGGUUUUUUAAAUUUUCAAUCUUUGAAACUUAACAAAAGUAAUCAAUUUCCAAAUUAAGAAGGUAUUUGAUUAAAACUUAAGAAAAGUUGACCAAUUUUCCUAAAUAUACAAACAACACAUUUCAUAGACAUGACUUAGAGUCUUAGAUCAUAUCCUGCUGGGCCUCCUUCGCUGAGUGGUUGGGUGUUCAACAGAGAAAGUAUGCAUGCUGAUAGUGAUAAAGGACCAAAGGCAUUUCAUAGAAAUGACUUAGAUCCGAUUGCAGAAAUGCCUACUGCAUCGCUUAGUGGCCUAUCUGUCAAUGAAAAAGUUUUUUCUCCAACUACCUAUAACCCUUCUCCUCUGUAUGUGGCUCCAGUGCCUUCAGCACCACAACUACCCGCUGAUGCAAAUUGGUUGAAGGGCCAUUCAUCAAAUUUUCCGGAGUCUAAAACUUGAGCUAAAAUCAGAGAAGCCGAAGGAAUAUUAGGUCCAACACCAACCUCUAGGUACCCAACCCUGUCUCCUACUCAUGGACCAUUUAGCCCACGGCUUGCAAAUUUUAUUGAUGGCUAUCCACCACUUCUUGGUAUGAGCUCAUCCGAAUGGCUCUACCAAUACAGGAACAGUCAUAUUGUUGAACAAGCUAAUGAUCGCAUAUGGCCAGUUCAAUUAAAUGCACCAGGAGACUUUGGAAACUUCUAUAGUCAUGAUGCUUCCAGGUUUGAGUUUUUCGACAGGUGGGGCAAUCCUUUGCCUUCCAGUCCGAUGGUCUAUUUGGAUAACCCGCAUUUGAACACAAAUUUGCCUCUCUACGGAGUAGAGGAACAAAGAAGGGAGAAGUUGUUUCAUGGUUACCAAAGACCGAUCUCCUAUGGAUGUGUUACCGGGACAAACUUGGGAGCAGAGAAGCCACCACUUCUACAGUAUCUACAAGAAAGAGAAUGGCAACUACAACGAGAGAAUAAACUGCGAGGUCCUCCCUACAUGGGGAACUAAGUUAAGGUACAUGAAGACUUUAAGACUGACUUCAAUUCUAAGUCUAAAUGUUUGUUUGUACCUGGGUAAAUGAAGGUCCUGCAGGUUUUCAAGUGACAUUCUGGUUGAACUUAUAUUUGAAGAAGUGUGUAUUUCUUGUUUUUGUCCAAAAGCUACAAUGUUCUUGUGCCGAUCAGAUGGUUAUCAAAUAGGCAGAAAAAAAUAUGUAAUAUUUCUUUCAGAACUUAGUGAUGUAGAUUGAGG
rnacentral:lncRNA from 1 species